GCCGGGGUGGCGAAAUUGGUAGACGCGCUUGGUUUAGGACCAAGUGGGAGUGAUCUCGUGGAGGUUCAAGUCCUCUCCCCGGCACCA
rnacentral:tRNA from 1 species